rnacentral:rRNA from 1 species
CUACGGGGUGCUGCAGUGAGGAAUAUUGCACAAUGGGGGGAACCCUGAUGCAGCAACGCCGCGUGGAGGAUGACGCAUUUCGGUGUGUAAACUCCUUUUAUCAGAGAAGAACAUGACGGUAUCUGAUGAAUAAGCUCCGGCUAACUCCGGGCCAGCAGCCGCGGUAAUACGGAGGGAGCAAGCGUUAUUCGGAAUCACUGGGCGUAAAGGACGCGUAGGCGGGACAGUAAGUCAGGUGUGAAAUCCAAUGGCUCAACCAUUGAACUGCACUUGAAACUGCUGACCUAGGGUACUGAAGGGGCAGAUGGAAUUAGUGGUGUAGGGGUAAAAUCCGUAGAUAUCACUAGGAAUACCGAAAGCGAAGGCGAUCUGCUGGGAAGUUACUGACGCUGAGGCGUGAAAGCGUGGGGAGCAAACAGGAUUAGAUACCCGCGUAGUC